CCCAAACCCUCGCCCCCUCCUCCCCCCUACAAACACAAGCCGCCUCCUCCUCCUCCUCCUCCUCCCCCCUCCCUCCUCUCCGGCUCCGUAGACGAGCACGAGGAACAAGAAGAAGAAGAGGGGAUUUUGGAGCCCUAGGGUUAGGGCUUUGGAUUUGGGCGGCGAGCGUGAGCUGUUUCGAUUCUGGUUUGUGUUGACUCCCUAGAUUUCCCUUGUGUUUGCUUCAAUUGGUGUGGAUUGCGUGCUGUUUUGAUCCGAUUCUGUUUUUCCACUCUCAUCACCCUUGCUUCGCCAUUCUACGUUGUUGUAAUUUGACUGUGGUGUGCGAAAGGGGCAGGUUUGUGUAUGUGUUGGUGUAUGAUAGAGGUUUUUGCUAUUUCUGAUUUAGAGUUCUGUUUACUAAUUUGAUAUGGUUGAAUGUGCUUCCGCAAUAACUUACUGAAAUUGUUCAUGUGAAUCUGGUGCUGUUGUUUUGAGUGGUUUUGGAUAUGCCGCUGGGUUAUUUUGUGAUGCAGAUUAAGCGAGCGCGAUAGUCGUAGGAAGUCCUCAGGAAGCAGCAGUUUGUUCAUUUGCUGUUCAUGGGACGUGAUUGAGGCAUAAAAAAUAAGGAAAGACGACUCUUUGUGCAAUACUAAGAUGGAUAGGAAUUGGGUUUUAAAGCGGAAAAGGAGACGGACACCAAUUGCAGCAGACCCGUCUAAUGAGAAAGAGAGUACUCCGCUACCGUCAGACCCUACAAGGAGUAAUAGUUCAAGCAAAAAGAAACUGAAGGGCGGAAGUGAUGUUCCCGAAUCUGCCCAGAAGAUAAAAGGACAUGAUGGGUAUUACUAUGAAUGUGUCGAAUGCGAUCUUGGUGGCAGUUUGCUGUGCUGUGACAGCUGUCCACGAACCUAUCAUUUGGAAUGUCUCGAUCCACCUCUUAAGCGCACACCACCGGGAAAAUGGCAAUGUCCAAAGUGCUGCGAGGGGAAAGAUACCUUGACUCCAGUAGGUAGUAAGAAGUCAAAUUCUAGAAGAGCAAGAACAAGGAGGAUUUUUGAAAACGCCAACAUACAGAAACCCCAUUCUAGUGAAAAUUCUAUUCCUGGAAAGAAUAAAACAAAUGACAAAGGAAAAGUUCCUUCUCAUCCUAGAUCUUCAUUAAAUGAGAAUCAGUCAGACUCCUCUAAUGAUAAUUCAUCUUGUAGCAUGAAAUCAAAACAAUCAUGUGAUGGUAAAUCCAGGGACCGUAGAAAAAAACGUUUGUCUCCGUUUUCUUGGAGUAAGCAUUCUACUGAGUUCCAUUUGCUUGUAAAGACAUCGAAGUUGGGCCCUAUUGAAAAGUCUCCGGAGAAGAUGUCCAACGAACCCAAAAGUGAAAUAAAGACAAAGAAACUUACAUCAUCAUCAUUAUUGCCCUCUCAGAAAUCCAAAAAAAAGAAGCAACAAGAUAAGAGACUAGACAAAAAGAAGAAGUCUAGAACUGAAAAGUUGAAACAUGUGUCAUCGGUUUGUAGUGAUUCAUCUGAGGAAGCAUUUUCUGGCUCUGCUUACAGUGAGUUAAUUCCAAAGAGAAAAUCAUCAGAUCGACAGAAAUCUGGAAUUGUUAGAAAGGAAGAUAGUAAGAAACUCAAAUCUUCCUACCAAAAACAGCACGAGAUUUCUGCUAUCUCUGCACCUUCAGCACGAGAAUUUGAAGAAAAAGAAGCUGUAAGAGAAAAGACAAUGAAAUCUCAUGGGAGUCCAUGGGAUGGAGUUCAACAGGUUGACCGCAUCCUGGGGUGUCGGGUGCAAACAAGUUGCUCAGUUUCAGAUAAUGAUGGGAAAGUAUUAACAGAGUAUUAUGAAGGCAAAUGUUUUGGAAGUCAAAAGGAUAUCAAAGGUGCUCUGAGGGAGGAAUCCCUUAGCCUAGUAGAUUGUAAUGAUGGAAAUAAGGAUGCUGAUAAUACAAUUUCAGUAGAUGAAGAGUAUAGCGGAAAAUUACAUCAGACUAAAGAAUGUCUGGAUAAGGAUGAAGUACUGACAUCAACUGCUGGACCUUCAAAGGAUCUAUCUACUUCUGGAAAACAUACCGAUUUGCAAGAGGAUAUAAUAAUAAAUGAAGCAAAUAUUGGAGAAGAAACCUCUAAAAGUAAUGUUAGUUCUUUGAAACAUUUUCCAUUGUCUCAACCUUGUGAUCUUGAAGGUACCAAUAGAUCAAAGAUGGGGACAAAAGCAGGUGAUGACCUACCUAGUGUUAUAUAUGAGUUUCUAGUUAAAUGGGUUGGUAGAUCAAACAUUCACAACAGUUGGAUUUCUGAAUCCCUACUGAAGAGUUUGGCAAAAAGGAAGUUGGAGAAUUACAAAGCAAAGUAUGGUUUAGCUGUGAUAAACAUUUGUGAGGAACAGUGGAGCCAACCACAGCGUGUUAUUGCUCUCCGUGUUUCUAAAGGUGGUAGUGAAGAAGCUUUGGUUAAAUGGUGCAGCUUAUCUUAUGAUGAAUGCACUUGGGAAAGAUUAGAUGAACCCGUUGUUAAGAAGUUUGCUCAUUUAGUCACCGAGUUCAAAAAUUUUGAAUCCCAAACACUCGAAAGGGAUGCCAGAAGUGGUUUUCCUAGGGCACGAGGUGAUGCUCAAGAACUUGUUUCCUUGGUCGAGCAGCCAAAAGAGCUUCAAGGUGGCAUGCUUUUUCCACAUCAGCUAGAAGCUUUGAACUGGCUUCGUAAAUGCUGGUACAGGAAUAGGAAUGUAAUCCUUGCUGAUGAGAUGGGUCUUGGGAAGACGGUAUCUGCUUGUGCUUUUAUGUCGUCUUUGUACUGUGAAUUUAGGGCUAAAUUGCCAUGCUUAAUCUUGGUUCCUCUCUCUACAAUGCCUAACUGGCUCGCUGAAUUUGCAUCUUGGGCUCCUCAUUUGAAUGUUGUGGAGUAUCAUGGUGGUGCAAAAGCAAGGUCCAUUAUCCGCCAAUACGAAUGGCAUGCCAGUGAUCCAAUUGGGUCUGGUAAGGCAACAAAGGCCUAUAAAUUCAAUGUUUUGUUGACUACCUAUGAGAUGGUGCUUGCAGACGCCUGUCACCUUCGUUCUGUCUCUUGGGAAGUUCUUUUAGUUGAUGAAGGGCAUCGUCUAAAGAAUUCUGGGAGCAAGCUUUUUAGCAUGUUGAAUACAUUCUCUUUUCAGCAUAGGGUGCUGUUGACGGGAACCCCUUUGCAGAACAACAUAGGCGAGAUGUAUAACUUACUUAACUUCUUACAGCCUGAUUCAUUCCCGUGUUUAUUGGCAUUUGAGGAGAAGUUUAAUGAUCUCACUACAGCAGAAAAAGUGGAGGAGCUGAAAAAACUUGUUUCUCCUCAUAUGCUUCGAAGGCUUAAAAGAGAUGCUAUGCAAAACAUUCCCCCAAAGACUGAGCGCAUGGUUCCCGUUGAGUUGACAUCGAUACAGGCUGAGUACUAUCGUGCAAUGCUGACAAAGAACUACCAAAUAUUACGUAACAUGGGAAAAGGUGGGGUUCAGCAGUCAAUGCUAAACAUUGUAAUGCAACUCCGAAAGGUCUGCAAUCAUCCAUAUCUCAUUCCAGGUACUGAACCUGAAUCUGGCUCAGUGGAAUUCCUCCAUGAAAUGCGUAUAAAAGCCUCAGCAAAGCUGAUGUUGUUGCACCAAAUGCUCAAGAUUUUACAGCGCGAUGGGCAUCGUGUCCUUAUAUUUUCCCAGAUGACGAAGCUUCUUGAUAUCCUAGAAGAUUACCUGACUAUAGAAUUUGGCCCUAAAACAUUCGAAAGAGUGGAUGGAUCAGUAUCUGUGGCAGAUCGCCAAGCGGCAAUUGCUCGUUUUAAUCAGGACAAAUCUCGAUUUGUAUUCUUGUUGUCUACACGAUCUUGUGGCCUUGGAAUAAAUUUGGCUACAGCAGAUACCGUCAUUAUUUAUGACUCUGAUUUCAAUCCACAUGCUGAUAUACAAGCGAUGAAUAGAGCACAUAGAAUUGGGCAAUCAAGCAGACUUCUGGUGUAUAGGCUUGUAGUUCGUGCUAGUGUUGAGGAGCGCAUCUUGCAACUUGCUAAGAAGAAAUUGAUGCUUGAUCAACUCUUUGUGAACAAGUCGGAGUCUCAGAAGGAAGUGGAGGAUAUACUUCGAUGGGGAACAGAAGAACUUUUCAAUGAUAGUGAUGGCACAAAUGGACAAGAUCAGAAAGAAGCUUCUAUGAUUAAAGAUGAUGUUGUUGUUGCUGAUGGUGAGCAUAAACAUAGGAGGCGGCUUGGUGGUCUGGGAGAUGUUUAUCAGGACAAAUGUGCUGGUGGUUCCACAAAGAUUGUUUGGGAUGACAAUGCAAUCCUUAAGUUACUUGAUCGAUCUGACCUUCAAUCUGCUGUCUCUGAAAGCCCAGACGGAGAUUUGGGGAAUGAUAUGCUUGGAACUGUAAAGUCAGUGGAGUGGAAUGAUGAAGUAAAUGAAGAACCAGGGGUUGCUGAAGCUCUUCCUAGCAUUACUGGUGAUGGUCGUGAGCAGGCAGAAGCUAAAGAAGAGAACCCAACUAAUGGCACCGAGGAAAAUGAAUGGGAUAGGCUUUUACGUGUCAGGUGGGAAAAAUAUCAAUUGGAGGAGGAGGCAGCUCUUGGUCGAGGGAAGCGCUUGAGAAAAGCAGUAUCCUACAGAGAAACAUUUGCAACGAUACCAAGCGAAGCUUUAACUGAGCAGAGUAGUGAAGAAGAGGAUGAGCCAAAGCCAGAAUACACUCCUGCUGGCCGAGCAUGGAAAGAAAAAUACGCCAAGCUCCGCGCUAGGCAAAAAGAUCGAAUUGCCCGAAGGCAUACUAUGGAGAUCUCUUCUUCAACUGGACCUCAGGAGAUGACAGAAUUACAACCGAUCCCUCCAUCUCUCAACGAUGGGGAAGCUCUAAAUGUCAGAAAUAUUGUUCAAGAAACAAGACUACAGGGUUAUCCAAUCAAUCAAGACGAGACCAUGAGUGAAUCUACUACAAAAACAGAAAAGUUCUUAAAGAAUACUCAAAAGAAGUACCGCAGCACCAAUCUGGAUCUUUCUAUUAGAACUCCCAGAAGUAAUCCCUCUGAAAUCACAGGUGCUCCAAAUUCAAUGCCUCCUCCCCACCUUCUUCCUGUUCUGGGACUAUGUGCUCCAACUGCUGAUGAGGUGAACGCAUACCGAAAUUCUCGAUCUGUGUCAAGUCAGAGUGAAAAGAGAGGAACAGGCAAUGGAAUGUCAGAGCUUCCCUUUAUGCCAACUCCUAAUGCUGACCAUUCAACUGAACCGAAUAUUAACGGAAAAACAGCGGCACAGGGAUCUGUGCCACCUCAUACACUUGGAGAGGCUUUGCAUCUUCGGCUGAAGAAUAUCAUUCCAAAUAGCUACUUCCCAUCGUUUCCUUUUCCUCCUACAUCUGGAAGGGGUCCUCAUGAUCCUCUUCAAAGUUCUGGCUCUUCCUUUGCCUCAUUCCAAGAGAAGUUAGGUCUUCCAAAUUUAGUUCUCGAUGAUAAUGCCCAGACAAAGUAUGCAAUUCCACCAGUAAAUUUUAAGCCACCUGUGGAUCUCUUUCCGGGCUUAUCUCUAGGCACAAAUAAGGACUAUCCAACUGAUCCCAUUCAAGGCAUGCCAAAUGUUCCACUAAUGCCCAAUUUUGCCCAUCAUAUAGGUGGUGACAUUUCAAAGGGAAAGCAUCAGAUUCCUGAUCUUCCUACAUUUCUGGGUCUUGGGCAAAUGCAAGCAACACACCCAUCAUUGACUGAAAGCCAUAAGAAGGUUCUCGACAACAUAAUGAUGCGAACUCAAUCUGCAACGAAUAAGCUGAAGAAGAAACUCAAGAGUGAUGCUUGGUCAGAAGAAGAACUUGAUGCUCUCUGGAUUGGAGUUCGUAGACAUGGAAAGGGUAAUUGGGAGGCUAUGCUUAGAGAUCCAAAAUUGAAGUUUGCACACUUUAGGACUCUGGAUGAUUUGUCUACAAGAUGGGCUGAGGAGCAGCACAAAGUUUUUGAUGAGCCAGCUAGUUCAGCCCCUAAAUCUUCUAGGCCUCCGACAUUUCCUGGAAUAACUGAUGGAAUGAUGACUCGGGCUUUACUUGGAAGUAAAUUUUCAAGACUUGGGACGGAGCCACCUAAGUUUCGGUCUCAUCUAACAGAUAUGCAGUUGGGAUUUGGUGAUCUCAGACCUGGAUUUCUCGGUGCUGAGGCGGCCAAUUUUGUUAAUAAAGUUGUUGACAAGUGCUCACUACUCCCAAUAAUGCAACUUGACAAUGUUAGUAGAUCAACUUAUGCUGGAGAAUAUUCUACGGGACCAUUUGAUGGACUGGACAAAUUUGGCAUAGGGUUGGAGCCGUCAUUCCAGCAUAAAAGUCCUUUUAUACCAGAAAAUUUUGGAGCAGUGGACAUAAAUUGCCCCAGUAAUAUGGCUAUGCCGCAUAACCAAGUGGACCUAGGUGUUGCUAAGAACCUCCCUGUUCCAGGUGUUUUCGAAAAUCCACUGAAUAUGUUUCAUGAUUUACAAAGUAAUGCACGGUCAGGUGAAUCCUCAAGGGCAACAAAUCUCGAUCCCAAAAUGUUUUCUGCAAAUUCUCGUAUCAACACCUACAAGGAGAGUAGUAGUUCGAAAUCAAACAGCUUACCCCAUUGGCUUCGAGAAGCUGUUAAUGCUCCGCCAUCAAGGCCACCAGAGCCCGUUCUGCCUCCUACUGUUUCAGCGAUUGCUCAAUCUGUUCGCCUACUGUAUGGGGAAGAGAAGCCGAUGAUACCCUCUUUCACAAUGCCAGGUCCUCCCCUUUCCCUACCCAAGGAUCCAAGGAAAAUUCUAAAGAAGAAGAAAAAGAAGUCACAUAAGCUUCAGCAAUCGACACUUGAGAUACAAUGCUCUAAGGAUUCUGAUCAUGAAACCACUACUAAUGACGGAUUGCCAUCCUUGAACUCAAACAGAAAUUCCCCAUCACCGUCUCCAGAAGAGCUUCAAUUGUUUUCCUCUUCUGUGACUCCUGGAACUUGCACAUCAAAAGUAAAUGAUCUGCCUAGUCCUGGUUGUCAAAAAACUGAAUUUCCUGCAUUUAAUGAUAAUGAAGAACUUCAUAGCAAACGAGAGGGUAUGAGUGGAGAUAUGAAAAGUUUACAUGAAGAGCAAAAAACAUCAAGUUCCUUAUUAGGCUCUUGGGAGAACCCGAAGGAUGAGAAGAGUGAGCGCAUCGAGAGUGGAGGUUCUGGCAAAACUCAAUCUGAUGCAAGCCGAGCUAACCCGCUCGAAAUCACAGAAAUUUCAUCAGAAGAAACAGACUCAAAUGAUAAUCAAAGCAAACGUUGAAUAGCGGGUUCUACUUCCCUUUUUUCUGCUCUCUUCCCCUAUUUCAAGGUUCAAAGGCAGGUCCUUGAAUUUCCUACUUCUAUAUGCAUAGUCAAUAAAUUGUUAUUGAGGUCAAGUUGCAUGGGCAUCUCUCCUUUGUGCUAACACAUGGGAAAAGAUUCUUGCUAAUUCAGUAUUGUCGACCAACAUUCAUUAAAUCUGAGGCUCCAAAUUAGAAAGGCCAUUUAUAUUGUGCAUCUCUACAAUUAAUCUCUCCUCCCCUUUCAGUUAUGAAUACAACAAAGGGUGGUUUCAUAGUACAUAAUAUACCAUGUCUCAUUAGACAACUCAGCUUCUGAAGCUUUUUGGGUGUUUCGGUGCUUCCCUUUUUCUCCCUGUAUAUCUCCAUCUUUUGAUACCAUAUCUAUUAGCUAGUUUUCUACAGUAAGUUGGAACCAGGCUAACCAUAUUCUGCCAAUUUAUUUGAUUGCCCGGCUGUCGUCAUCUUUGCCUAUCUCCUUUUCCCAGAACAGGCUUCAACAUGUCGAGGAAGAGAGCUUGGCUUUAAUUUCUCCAUACCUUUAUUUUGUUUACAUUAAAGUAAUCUAAUGAUUUAGACAUAAUUUGGUACUUUUACCCAUAAAGCUGAUCAUAUGUUGUAGAGAUGUUUAAGGAGUAUUAUCUAUAGCGAGACAUUUGUUUUGCUCAGUGUUAAUUACAUUUAAGUUGCAACUGUUCUUUUACCAGUUUGAAAUUUUGGUA